rfam:Gossypium arboreum cultivar AKA8401 contig_66899_1, whole genome shotgun sequence.
AAUUAAAAAUUUGAUCUAUUUUUAUUGUUAAAAAGUGACGUGAUUGAUGAAAUAACUUGAUAAUGAUAUGUGACGUGCCACAUAUACUUGAUGCUGAAAUAUAUGUAUUAAUUUUUCACAAAAUAAAUGAAUAAAUUUUUUAACA